rnacentral:tRNA from 1 species
GCCGGCGUGGUGGAAUAGGUAGACACAGCAGACUUAAAAUCUGCUGACACUCGUGUCGUGCCGGUUCAAGUCCGGCCGCCGGUA